rnacentral:rRNA from 1 species
GCCAGACUCCUACGGGAGGCAGCAGUGGGGAAUAUUGCACAAUGGGGGAAACCCUGAUGCAGCAACGCCGCGUGAGUGAAGAAGUCAUUCGUGAUGUAAAGCUCUAUCAGCAGGGAAGAAAAUGACGGUACCUGAGUAAGAAGCCCCGGCUAACUACGUGCCAGCAGCCGCGGUAAUACGUAGGGGGCAAGCGUUAUCCGGAUUUACUGGGUGUAAAGGGAGCGUAGACGGCCAGACAAGUCUGAAGUGAAAAUCCAACGCUUAACGUUGGAAGUGCUUUGGAAACUGCCGGGCUGGAGUGCAGGAGGGGCAGGCGGAAUUCCUGGUGUAGCGGUGAAAUGCGUAGAUAUUAGGAGGAACACCAGUGGCGAAGGCGGCCUACUGGACGGUGACUGACGCUGAGGCUCGAAGGCGUGGGGAGCAAACAGGAUUAGAUACCCUGGUAU